rnacentral:ncRNA from 1 species
UGACCUUGGAUCAGUCGUGAUUACGCAAUGAACCUAAGCCUAUCACAAAACGGACGAAAAAAAAACUUACCAGGAUUUCCCUUGUUACGGCGAGUGAAGAGGUAAUAGCCCAGCAGCGAAGCCUGAGGUAGGUUGACUGCUGGGCAAUGUGGUGUUAAGGUUGAUUCAUGUGAUUGCCACUUCACUCGAAGUCUAGCACUUAGUAUGGUUCCCUGGAUUUUGACCAGAGAGGAUGAAAGUCCCGCGCGAGUAUAGGUUCAGACAUGUGAGGCAAUUCAACAGGUUGACCUUCGAGUCGGGUUACUUGGGAAUGCAACACAAAGUGGGUGGUCGUUUGUGGUGGUUCGGUCGGUGGCUCCCCCGUGGUCGUUGGCUGAGCUUCCAUCAUCACAGUGAGUGGCUUGUGUAGGCAUUCGCAUGCACACGUGUUAUCGAGCACUGUUCGUCAACAGGUCUGUCUCUCGGUUGUGUUUUUUCAGUCACCGGCAGAUAUCUUGGUUGGCUGCGGUGGUAGGAAUAACUGCGAAGGGCACCAGGGUUGUCGGAUUCUAGUUUCUUGCUCGUGCGAACACUGCAUGUGGGCGUGGGUGUUGCUGCGGGCUGCCAAUUGUUGUGCCUGAUCGUCAUGUUUCCUGAGAUGAGUGGAUCCGACGGUGGUCUAUUGUUCGAUGGUCUUACAUGCUGCAUUUUCUGAACGAGACGACGAGGGGCCAAGCAGUAUGUGGUGUUGCGACAGAUAAGCUAACUGAUCCAUCUUGAAACACGGACCAGGGAGUUUAUCAUGCACGCGUGUAAAUGGAUCCCACGAAACCCAAAUGUGCAGUGAAAUUUAAGUCUCAACUUGUUCUCGGCAUGUUGUAAAAUGCCACUGUUUCUCGUACAUCGCCUUGCGCGUACAGCACCAGGCACAAAAUAAGUGGUCAAAUCACCGGCCUGUCCCUCGAUGUGAUCGUUGGAAAGGUGUGGAUCGUUCUGCAGUCUGCGGUGUUAGCCAGCGCGUCAUCGGGGUGGAGCAGCAGCGUGCUUGGUAAGACCCAAAAGAUGGUGAACUAUGCUUGCGUAGGUGUAAGGCAGAGGAAAAUCUGGUGGAGGACUGCAGCGGUUCUGACGUGCUAAUCUAUCGCAAAACGUGAGUAUAGGGGUUAAAAACCAAUUGAACCAUCUAGUAGCUGGUUCCCUCUGAAGUUUCCCUCAGGAUAGCUGGCACGCAUUCGUAAGAUCAGUUUUAUCCGGUAAAGCGAAUGAUUUAAGGUACUGGGUUCGAUAGGAGCUCAACCUGUUCUCAAAUUAUAAAUGGGUGAGAUGCCCAACUCGCUUUAUAGGAGUCGUGCGCGGAAUGUGCGAAUGCCAAGUGGACCAUUUUGAUAAGCAGAACUGAUGCUGUGGGUUGAAAAACUCCCGGUUAAGGUGCCUUACGUUGACACUUAUAUGAUUCCACAAAAGUUGUUGGUUAAUAUAGACAGCAAGACGUUGGCCAUGGAAGUUGGCAUCCGCUAAGGAGUGUGUAACAACUCACUUGCCGAAAUGACCAGCCCUGAAAAUGGAUGACCCUGGAGCGUUUGACCUAUACCGGGCCAGCCCCGCAAGCUUGAUCGCUGGUUUUGAUUUUGGUACGAGAACCAAAUGGCCAGUUGCGUGAACAACAGUCAGUCGCUGUCUUGCGUAAUCCUGAUUCAGGUAAGUAGGCGGUGGCGAGUAGUAGGUUUGCUAUGGUGAGCGUUGAAGCUUGGACGUGAGUCUGGGUGGAGCCACUAUGGGUGAAGAUCUUGGUGGUCGUAGCAAAUAUAUAAGUGAGAAACUUAAAGGCCGAGAUGGAGAAGGGUUCCAUGGGAACAACAGUUGGCCAUGUGUCAGGUGGUCCUAAACGAUCUGACGUCUCGGUACAGAGACGUGGGGAGCCUUGCAUACUUCAGUCUGUGUGUGUGCGCGUGCAGACGGCAGCCCACCGGAGUGAACGGGGAUUGGGUAAACAUUCCUGACCCUGCCCAAGGAGAUAGGCAAAGGUUUGGCUGGGCCGUCUGUGUUCGCUUUUUCGGCGUAUGCAGCUGUGGUCCGUGUCUGGGCGAUGCUAAGCUGGGUAACGCAACCGAACUCAGAGACAUCGGCUGGAGUUACGGUAAGAGUUUUCUUUUCUUUGUAAGGAGUACACACCAACCCUGGCAUCAGGUUUUCCGGAGGUAGAGGUAUCGCCUCCAUAAAGCACCACCCUUUUUGUGGGGUCUGGAACACUCUGGUCGGUCCUGGAAAUUCCAGGGGUGGCAACGUGAUUUUCGUGGUAGGCCGUACCCAUAUCCGCAUCAGGUCUCCGAGUUGAACUGCCUCUGCAAAAAGAAUAAUUAAGGUAAGGGAUUUUAGCAUAUUUGAUCCUUAGCCUUGGAAAAAGGAUUGGCUGUGAGGGCCGAGUCAGACACGCUAGGCUAAGAAAGGUGUAUGCUCGGACUGCGGCUGGCUAGUCGGCAAGCUGGACUGUGG